rnacentral:rRNA from 1 species
CAAAACUCCCAACCAUUGUGAACCUACCUCACCGUUGCUUCGGCGGGUGGCCCGCUAACCCCGCGCCGCGCCGGCCCCUCUCUAGGGGGCCCGGCAACCCGUCAGAAGCCCUAAACUCUCUGUAUUCAUUGGCCUCUCUGAGUAACUUAUACAAUAAGUCAAAACUUUCAACAACGGAUCUCUUGGUUCUGGCAUCGAUGAAGAACGCAGCGAAAUGCGAUACGUAAUGUGAAUUGCAGAUUUCAGUGAAUCAUCGAAUCUUUGAACGCACAUUGCGCCCGCCAGUAUUCUGGCGGGCAUGCCUGUUCGAGCGUCAUUUCAACCAUCAAGCCCCUGUGCUUGUGUUGGAGCCCUGCGGCUGCCGCAGGCUCCCAAACCCAGUGGCGGGCUCGUCGUCGUACCGAGUGCAGUAAAUUUACCACGCUCAGGGCACGCGACGGGUGACCGGCCGUAAAACCCCCCCCUUCUCAAGGUUGACCUCGGAUCAGGUAGGAAUACCCGCUGAACUUAAGCAUA